AUACGUAGGUGGCGAGCGUUGUCCGGAUUUACUGGGUGUAAAGGGUGCGUAGGCGGGAUUGCAAGUCAGGCGUGAAAUGCAUCGGCUUAACCGAUGAAUUGCGCUUGAAACUGCAGUUCUUGAGUGAAGUAGAGGCAGGCGGAAUUCCGAGUGUAGCGGUGAAAUGCGUAGAUAUUCGGAGGAACACCAGUGGCGAAGGCGGCCUGCUGGGCUUUUACUGACGCUGAGGCACGAAAGCAUGGGUAGCAAACAGGAUUAGAUACCCUGGUAGUCCAUGCCGUAAACGAUGAUUACUAGGUGUGGGGGGUCUGACCCCCUCCGUGCCGUAGUUAACACAAUAAGUAAUCCACCUGGGGAGUACGACCGCAAGGUUAAA
rnacentral:rRNA from 1 species